rnacentral:rRNA from 1 species
AGAGCGAACGCUGGCGGCGUGCUUAACACAUGCAAGUCGAGUGCGCGCCUGUAGCAAUACAGGUGGCGCACGGCGCACGGGUGCGUAACACGUGGGUAAUCUGCCCUUCGAAGGGGAAUAACUCGCCGAAAGGCGAGCUAAUUCCGCAUAACAUUCCGAGAACUUCCGUUUUCGGAUUCAAAGGCGUAAGUCGUCGGAGGAGGAGCCCGCGCACGAUUAGCUAGUUGGUGAGGUAAUGGCUCACCAAGGCUAUGAUCGUUAGCU